AUUGAACGCUGGCGGCAGGCCUAACACAUGCAAGUCGAACGAGCGGCGGACGGGUGAGUAAUGUAUGGGGAACUGCCUGAUAGAGGGGGAUAACUACUGGAAACGGUGGCUAAUACCGCAUACUAUCAGAUGAACCCAUAUGGGAUUAGCUAGUAGGUGGGGUAACGGCUCACCGAGGCGACGAUCACUAGCUGGUCUGAGAGGAUGAUCAGCCACCCUGGGACUGAGACACGGCCCAGACUCCUACGGGAGGCAGCAGUGGGGAAUAUUGCACAAUGGGGGCGAGCCUUAUGCAGCCAUGCCGAGUGUAUGAAGAAGGCCUUAGGGUUGUAAAGUACUUUCAGCGGGGAGGCGUUACCCGCAGAAGAAGCACCGGCUAACUCCGUGCCAGCAGCCGCGGUAAUUC
rnacentral:rRNA from 1 species